AACGAACGCUGGCGGCGUGCCUAACACAUGCAAGUCGAACGAGAAAGUGGGCUUCGGCCCGCGAGUACAGUGGCAGACGGGUGAGUAACACGUGGGUGACCUGCCCGGAGGUGGGGAAUAACCUCCCGAAAGGGAGGCUAAUACCGCAUGAUAUCGCGAAGGUUCGCCUUUGCGAUCAAAGCUAGCCUCUACUUGUAAGCUAGCGCCACCGGAGGGGCCCGCGGCCCAUUAGCUAGUUGGCGGGGUAAUGGCCCACCAAGGCGACGAUCAGUAGCUGGUCUGAGAGGAUGAUCAGCCACACCGGAACUGAGACACGGUCCGGACUCCUACGGGAGGCAGCAGUGGGGAAUAUUGGACAAUGGGGGAAACCCUGAUCCAGCAAUGCCGCGUGUGUGAAGAAGGCCUGCGGG
rnacentral:rRNA from 1 species